AGAGAUGUGUGAUGACGCAUAUCAAUAAGCGGAGGAAAAGAAACUAACAAGGAUUCCCCUAGUAACGGCGAGUGAAGCGGGAAGAGCUCAAAUUUGAAAUCUUCAAGGGUUUCCCUUGACGAAUUGUAGUUUAAAGAAGUGUUUUCUGUUAGAGAGGUGGUAAAAGUUCUUUGGGAUAGGACAUCAUAGAGGGUGAGAAUCCCGUAUUUGAUCACUUUCUACUAACGUUGUGAUACACUUUCAAAGAGUCGGAUUGUUUGGGAAUGCAGUCCAAAAUGGGUGGUAAAUUUCAUCUAAAGCUAAAUAUUGGCGAGAGACCGAUAGCGAACAAGUACCGUGAGGGAAAGAUGAAAAGAACUUUGAAAAGAGAGUUAAACAGUACGUGAAAUUGUCAAAAGGGAAGCGUUUGACACCAGUGUUGUUUAGUUCGAAAAUCAAUUAAAUAUUUUUCGAUUUUAAGUAGUAUUGACCUUAUCAGCUUGCUGCUUUUUCCUCGGAAAUUAUUUAAUGCACUUUUCAGUUAACAAGUCAACAUCAAUUUCUUUUGUUGUAAAAAGGUAAGAGGAAGGUGGCUUGCGCUUCGGCUCAAGUGUUUAUAGCCUUUUACCCCUGCAAUCGGAGAGAUUGAGGUCUGCAGCGUAGAUCCUUCGGGGUUAGAUACAUUUGUGCUAAGCUAUAGCCUUGUAUAGACAACUUGUUGACUAUGCUCAGUCAUGUAGCUUACUCGCUUAUGCUAUUUUACCUACGCUUAGGAUGUUGAAGAUGUAGCACAUCAU
rnacentral:rRNA from 1 species